rnacentral:rRNA from 1 species
CACGUAGGGUGCGAGCGUUGUCCGGAAUUAUUGGGCGUAAAGAGCUCGUAGGCGGUUUGUCGCGUCUGCCGUGAAAGUCCGGGGCUCAACUCCGGAUCUGCGGUGGGUACGGGCAGACUAGAGUGAUGUAGGGGAGACUGGAAUUCCUGGUGUAGCGGUGAAAUGCGCAGAUAUCAGGAGGAACACCGGUGGCGAAGGCGGGUCUCUGGGCCGUAACUGACGCUGAGGAGCGAAAGCAUGGGGAGCGAACAGG